ACCCCGGCCUUUCAGCAAAAGGAUCGAUUAUUUUAACCUUCACUAGACAUGUGAUUGUGAACACCACCAUUAUCAGUGGAUGGGAGUUCGACUACUCGCAUCCAAAUUGAGCUCGAUUAAGAAUUGACCAUUCCAGAAAAAGCCUGCAAGAGGCAAAAUAUCAUAUUUAAAAUGCUAUCACAUAAACCAUUACUUUAAAUCAAGGAAAAACAUACAAGAGCACAAGGCAAAUGAAGUGUAACACAAAGUAUUGGUGCAAAAGUUAAUACUAAUACAUAUACAGAUUUGGAGGUUUGAAAGAAGAAAAUCAUUCACUGUGAUACACAAAAACUGACAUUGUCCAGCGUAAAGUCGAAAGGAACAUUCAAGUUUCAAUAGCUAAAUGUUACCAUCUUUUAUGCUAACGUUUAGCUAUCCAAUUAUUUGGAACACAAGCCAAUCUUUAAAUGCUUCUAUCAGACAAAGGUCAAAAAAGUGAUCUUUAAACAACAUGGAAUAUCCCAAAGGAAAAUAAAAACAUAACUUGUAAAUGUAUACGGAUUAUAUUCAUUGGAAAACUCAGGACCCAAUAACAGAUUAAUACAACCAAAUAUUGUAUUCAUCAUCCUAACAGGAGCAAUUUACUGUGACCUUAAAUGCUAUUUAUAUUAAGUUUAAAAACAAAAUGGCACUGCCGCCUCUCUGCAUAAAGCGAAAUCCCUACCGCUAUCACAUGUUGUUCUUAAAAGAUCUCGCUGCAUCUGUUAUUAGAAAUGUUUCAUUCACUUAGUUUCUUUUGGAAGCAUAAAUCCUCCCGAGCAUCUUCUUUUAUAUGCUAAGACCUAAAAGUUCAAAGUUUAAUUUAGCAAGAAUAUCUCCGGGGAAAAUACACUACUUUUCUGAUAAAACACUUAUGCAAUAUUAUACUAAGAGCCCAUCUGUCGUUGGAGUAACGGUUUUUUCUUAAAAAACUUCUCGCUAUAGUGUUUUUUUAUUUUUUAAAAUUUAUUUUUGAUAUUAGAAUAUUUAAAACCACUUAAAAAAUAUUAAUUCGAAGGAAAAUAAAAUUUAAAAAACACAGGGGUCUUAACCAUGGAACUAUAAAUUUUUGGCUUGUAUAUCAUAAUCCAACUUUCAACCCUUUCCAAAAAGAGAGGAAAAAAAACAAGAGAAAAUCAUUACCACUGAUAUACGAUAACACCUAACUUUACUUGUAAAUUCAUUUCAAGCUAGUGAAGCAAGACGAAAAGAAAAACAAGGAAAACCUAAAUGGGCACUCCUAUUUUGCCACCAAGGCACCGUUUUUGACUAGACUAGAGCUACUUCUCUAUAUUCACCAAACAAACAAAAACCUAUCUAAAGCACAAUUACAAGACAAACCCAGAAGCAUAAAGUACUUGCACAAGAUGAUUAAAAGUUACAUAAGUAAAAACAAAUAAACUUCAUGUAAGGAAUUCGUUUUAGAUCCACAAGAACAAAGGUUUAAUAAGAGCUCAAGGAGAGCAGGAAGAGAAGAGAUAAACCUUAAGAUGGAUGGAAUCAUAUAAGUGUUAUGAGCGGGUAUGUCUUUACCUUGGAUUUAGAAACACAGUCCCAUAAUCAGAUUUUUCUACGGACAAGAUAAGAGUUCAGAGACAAGAGGAUAAGUGGAAAAUU
rnacentral:lncRNA from 1 species